CUGGGCUUGACAUGGCGUUUGUAGGGAAGCGAAAGCGGACCGACCCGUAAGGGAGGCGUCACAGGUGCUGCAUGGCUGUCGUCAGCUCGUGCCGUGAGGUGUUCGGUUAAGUCCGGUAACGAGCGCAACCCCUGGUGCCAGUUACAUGUUGUCUGGCGCGACUGCCCGUGACAAGCGGGAGGAAGGUGGGGACGACGUCAAGUCAGCAUGGCCUUUAUGUCCAGGGCUACACACACGCUACAAUGGCCGGUACAACGGGCAGCGAAACGGCAACGUGGAGCCAAUCCCAGCAAAGCCGGUCUCAGUUCGGAUUGAGGGCUGCAACCCGCCCUCAUGAAGGUGGAGUUGCUAGUAACCGCGCGUCAGCCAUAGUGCGGUGAAUACGUUCCC
rnacentral:rRNA from 1 species